GUUGAACGCUGGCGGCAGGCCUAACACAUGCAAGUCGAGCGGUUGACGGGAGCUUGCUCCCUGAUUCAGCGGCGGACGGGUGAGUAAUGCCUAGGAAUCUGCCUAUUAGUGGGGGACAACGUCUCGAAAGGAACGCUAAUACCGCAUACGUCCUACGGGAGAAAGCAGGGGACCUUCGGGCCUUGCGCUAAUAGAUGAGCCUAGGUCGGAUUAGCUUGUUGGUGAGGUAAUGGCUCACCAAGGCGACGAUCCGUAACUGGUCUGAGAGGAUGAUCAGUCACACUGGAACUGAGACACGGUCCAGACUCCUACGGGAGGCAGCAGUGGGGAAUAUUGGACAAUGGGCGAAAGCCUGAUCCAGCCAUGCCGCGUGUGUGAAGAAGGUCUUCGGAUUGUAAAGCACUUUAAGUUGGGAGGAAGGGUUGUAGAUUAAUACUCUGCAAUUUUGACGUUACCGACAGAAUAAGCACCGGCUAACUCUGUGCCAGCAGCCGCGGUAAAAC
rnacentral:rRNA from 1 species